AUGAUCUCGCAGGCUCAGCUCAUCUGGCUGUUAGUGCUCUGCAUCCAGGACUCCAGCGGAGACAUUGUGAUGACACAGACUCCAGAAUCCCUGGCAGUAUCGCCAGGAAACAGAGUUACUAUCAACUGCAAAGCCAGUGAAAGCAUUACAGGCUCUUCAGGCACUAGUUACUUAGCCUGGUACCAACAGAAACACAGACAAGCUCCUCAUUUAUCACGCUUCUACCCAUGCCUAUGGGACCCCACUCUCACAAUCAGCAGCAUGCAAGCUGAUGAUGCUGGAGAUUAUUAUGGCUCCAGUGGGCAGCUUGUGCUGACUCAGACUCCAGAAUCCCUGGCAGUGUCUCCUGGAGACAGAGUCACCAUCAACUGCAAAACCAGUUCCAGCGCCACCAGUGGUAGCACUCAUUACAUGGCCUGGUACCAACAGAAAUCAGGAGAAGCUCCUAAACUCCUUAUCUAUGGUGCUUCCAACCGCGCCACUGGGAUCCCAGACCGGUUCACAGGCAGUGGGUCUGGAACCGAUUUCACUCUCACCAUCAGCAACGUUCAAACUGAAGAUGCCGGAGAUUAUUAUUGUCAGCAAGGCUAUACAGCUGAAGUCUCACAGUGA